rnacentral:lncRNA from 1 species
CAAUUUCUGCCCACAAAAAAAGCUCACCACUGCCUCACAUACGUCCCCCGCCACCACCUCCCAUGCAAAGGUAAAAAACCUCCCAGUUAAGUCGUCUGGUCCCGCUGCACUCUCUCCAUCCAUUCCAAACACCACUUCUCUUACCUCCUCCAUCUCCGGAACAUUCACUAACUCCCCAUUUUGUGUGUGAGAAACCAUGUGGGGGAGAGGCAUGUUAAGUGUAUCCCAGGAACCUGACGAAGUCUCCGUCGAGAAUAAAAUUUUAAAAUAUUCAACUGCCUUCGCUGCAAUCCGAUCAUCAUCUACCAUCAAUCCCCAGUUGCACCUUUGAUCCGAUGUAUGACCGUCUUCGCCC